rnacentral:rRNA from 1 species
GCAAGUCGAACGGUGAAGAGAGCUUGCUCUCUGGAUCAGUGGCGAACGGGUGAGUAACACGUGAGCAAUCUGCCCCUGACUCUGGGAUAACAGUUGGAAACAGCUGCUAAUACCGGAUACGAGCUUCGAAGGCAUCUUCGGAAGCUGGAAAGAACUUCGGUCAGGGAUGAGCUCGCGGCCUAUCAGCUAGUUGGUGAGGUAAUGGCUCACCAAGGCGUCGACGGGUAGCCGGCCUGAGAGGGUGACCGGCCACACUGGGACUGAGACACGGCCCAGACUCCUACGGGAGGCAGCAGUGGGGAAUAUUGCACAAUGGGCGCAAGCCUGAUGCAGCAACGCCGCGUGAGGGACGACGGCCUUCGGGUUGUAAACCUCUUUUAGCAGGGAAGAAGCGAAAGUGACGGUACCUGCAGAAAAAGCGCCGGCUAACUACGUGCCAGCAGCCGCGGUAAUACGUAGGGCGCAAGCGUUAUCCGGAAUUAUUGGGCGUAAAGAGCUCGUAGGCGGUUUGUCGCGUCUGCUGUGAAAACUGGAGGCUCAACCUCCAGCCUGCAGUGGGUACGGGCAGACUAGAGUGCGGUAGGGGAGAUUGGAAUUCCUGGUGUAGCGGUGGAAUGCGCAGAUAUCAGGAGGAACACCGAUGGCGAAGGCAGAUCUCUGGGCCGUAACUGACGCUGAGGAGCGAAAGGGUGGGGAGCAAACAGGCUUAGAUACCCUGGUAGUCCACCCCGUAAACGUUGGGAACUAGUUGUGGGGUCCAUUCCACGGAUUCCGUGACGCAGCUAACGCAUUAAGUUCCCCGCCUGGGGAGUACGGCCGCAAGGCUAAAACUCAAAGGAAUUGACGGGGACCCGCACAAGCGGCGGAGCAUGCGGAUUAAUUCGAUGCAACGCGAAGAACCUUACCAAGGCUUGACAUAUACGAGAACGGGCUAGAAAUAGUCAACUCUUUGGACACUCGUAAACAGGUGG